rnacentral:rRNA from 1 species
UGCCAGACUCCUACGGGAGGCAGCAGUGGGGAAUAUUGCACAAUGGGGGAAACCCUGAUGCAGCGACGCCGCGUGAGUGAAGAAGUAUUUCGGUAUGUAAAGCUCUAUCAGCAGGGAAGAAGCAGACGGUACCUGACUAAGAAGCCCCGGCUAACUACGUGCCAGCAGCCGCGGUAAUACGUAGGGGGCAAGCGUUAUCCGGAUUUACUGGGUGUAAAGGGAGCGUAGACGGCUAAGCAAGUCUGAAGUGAAAGCCCGGGGCUGAACCCCGGGACUGCUUUGGAAACUGUUAAGCUAGAGUGCUGGAGAGGUAAGUGGAAUUCCUAGUGUAGCGGUGAAAUGCGUAGAUAUUAGGAGGAACACCAGUGGCGAAGGCGGCUUACUGGACAGUAACUGACGUUGAGGCUCGAAAGCGUGGGGAGCAAACAGGAUUAGAUACCCGCGUA